AUGACUCUGAUCUGCGUCCUCAUCUGGACUCUCCUCUGCUGCUGCUUCACAGAGUCCAGAGGUCAAGUCACAGUGACUCAGCCUGGAUCAGUGACUUCUGCUCUGGGAGGCUCCGUCAGCAUCAGAUGUAAAACCAGUCAGAAUGUUUAUGUUCACAACAGCAACCAAUGUUUAGCCUGGUACCAACAGAGAGAUGGAGGAACUCCUAAACUGCUCAUUUAUUAUGCUACCACCAGACAAUCAGGAACACCAAGUCGUUUUACAGGCAGUGGAUCAAACUCUGACUUCACUCUGACCAUCAGUGGAGUUCAGGCUGAAGAUGCAGCAGUUUAUUACUGUCAGAGUCUUCACAGUGGUCCUGUGUUCACACAGUGA